AGUGAACGCUGGCGGUAGGCCUAACACAUGCAAGUCGAACGGCAGCACAGUAAGAGCUUGCUCUUACGGGUGGCGAGUGGCGGACGGGUGAGGAAUACAUCGGAAUCUACUUUUUCGUGGGGGAUAACGUAGGGAAACUUACUCUAAUACCGCAUACGACCUACGGGUGAAAGCAUGGGAUCUUCGGACCUUGCGCGAUUGAAUGAGCCGAUGUCGGAUUAGCUAGUUGGCGGGGUAAAGGCCCACCAAGGCGACGAUCCGUAGCUGGUCUGAGAGGAUGAUCAGCCACACUGGAACUGAGACACGGUCCAGACUCCUACGGGAGGCAGCAGUGGGGAACAUUGGACAAAGGGCGCAAGCAUGAUCCAGCGAUACCGCGUGGGUGAAGAAGGCCUUCGGGUUGUAAAGCCCUUUUGUUGGGAAAGAAAAGCAGCAGGUUAAUACCCCGCUGUUCUGACGGUACCCAAAGAAUAAGCACCGGCUAACUUCGUG
rnacentral:rRNA from 1 species